GAGGGUCUAGCUCAGUGGUAGAGUGCAUGCCUACCAUGCAUGAGGUCCGAGGGUCAAUCCCCAGUACCUUUA
rnacentral:tRNA from 1 species